rnacentral:rRNA from 1 species
AUUGAACGCUGGCGGCAUGCCUUACACAUGCAAGUCGAACGGCAGCACGGGGGCAACCCUGGUGGCGAGUGGCGAACGGGUGAGUAAUACAUCGGAACGUGCCCAGUAGUGGGGGAUAGCCCGGCGAAAGCCGGAUUAAUACCGCAUACGACCUACGGGUGAAAGCGGGGGAUCGCAAGACCUCGUGCUACCGGAGCGGCCGAUGUCAGAUUAGGUUGUUGGUGGGGUAAAAGCCGUACCAAGCCGACGAUCUGUAGCUGGUCUGAGAGGACGACCAGCCACACUGGGACUGAGACACGGCCCAGACUCCUACGGGAGGCAGCAGUGGGGAAUUUUGGACAAUGGGCGCAAGCCUGAUCCAGCCAUGCCGCGUGCGGGAAGAAGGCC